AAAUAUAUUUAAAUUUAUGUGCUUAAUUAGUAUUUGUAAAUAUCAUUAAAUUUAAAAGAUUUGGCGGUAAAUUAUUAAAUUAGAGGAACUUGUUAAAUAAUCGAUAAUCCCCGUUUAAUUUUACCUAAAUUUGUUAAUCAAUUUAUAUACCGUUGUUUAUGAAAAUUUUUAUUGAAUAUUUAAUUUUCUUUCUAAUUUUUUUAUUAAGAUCAAGUCAAGGUGUAGUUUAUAUUUAGGACUUAUAAUGAGUUACUAUUAUAUUUAAUAUUAGAUUAUUAUAAGGAGGUAUAAUAUGAAAAAGGAUUUAUUAGUAAUAAAUAAUUAAAGUGUAUUUAUGAAUUAUAUACUAAUUUA
rnacentral:rRNA from 1 species